rnacentral:rRNA from 1 species
UGACGCUGGCGGCAGGCCUAACACAUGCAAGUCGAGCGGUAACAUUUCUAGCUUGCUAGAAGAUGACGAGCGGCGGACGGGUGAGUAAUGCUUGGGAACAUGCCUUUAGGUGGGGGACAACCAUUGGAAACGAUGGCUAAUACCGCAUAAUGUCUACGGACCAAAGGGGGCUUCGGCUCUCGCCUUUAGAUUGGCCCAAGUGGGAUUAGCUAGUUGGUGAGGUAAUGGCUCACCAAGGCGACGAUCCCUAGCUGGUUUGAGAGGAUGAUCAGCCACACUGGAACUGAGACACGGUCCAGACUCCUACGGGAGGCAGCAGUGGGGAAUAUUGCACAAUGGGCGCAAGCCUGAUGCAGCCAUGCCGCGUGUGUGAAGAAGGCCUUCGGGUUGUAAAGCACUUUCAGUUGUGAGGAAAGGUUAGUAGUUAAUACCUGCUAGCUGUGACGUUAGCAACAGAAGAAGCACCGGCUAACUCCGUGCCAGCAGCCGCGGUAAUACGGAGGGUGCGAGCGUUAAUCGGAAUUACUGGGCGUAAAGCGGUACGCAGGCGGUUUGUUAAGCGAGAUGUGAAAGCCCCGGGCUCAACCUGGGAACUGCAUUUCGAACUGGCAAACUAGAGUGUGAUAGAGGGUGGUAGAAUUUCAGGUGUAGCGGUGAAAUGCGUAGAGAUCUGAAGGAAUACCGAGGCGAAGGCAGCCACCUGGGCAACACUGACGCUCAUGACGAAAGCGUGGGACAAC